GUCCCUGCAUGCAUCAUAUGACUAUCGUUAGUGCAAGUUCAAUUCUCUAUGAGAUAAAACACUUCUGCUACGCCCAUGCCCCGAUCAGCAUAAAUGCAACAUACAUGAGAGGCUCGUCUUUCUGUGGCUGCAAUCAAGCAUUGGAAUGAGGUUAAAGACAAAGCAGAGAGGUUAAUGAUCGACAAAUAGACUUCUUACCUGAACUGAAGUGGAAUCAUGAGAGCUAAUGGAUGCAUGAAAAACAAUAUAGUGCAUGUCGGUGAGUGCGCAGACAGUGUCAAAGAGCAACUUGGGCCGGUCUCGACUCCAUACUGAGCAACACUGCUCAUAGUCCCUAUCAGCCGCCAUUAACUGGUGGAGGCGCCUCUCAGUAUGCGUCCGGCUUGCAGUAGGGUCUGACAGCCUCACACUCCGGCGUUCCCCGUUAUAGUGAUGGGCCUCAACAACAUUCUCCAGCUGUGCCUGGAUUUGGGCCACACGGUAGGGGUCCGUGAUUGGGCCAUGCUUUGAGUCAUCUUCCACGUAGACUAUGCAUGCUGCCCGUGCAUUGUGUGUCCAUGCCACGGCAGCAGAUAUGUGGCAUCCCAUCUCAGCUAGCACAGCUGAUAUUUCUGACAUUAGCCCUGGCCUGUCUGUUCCUGUCAUUUCCAAAGCUGUGUGUUCUGUCAAGACAUAUCGGGGCCUAACGUCUCUACCAAUAAAGAUGAUUAUAGUUAAAUCAACUGAAGAAAGCUGGACAGGUGGAAGUUAAAAAUGGCUACACAAACCUGCUGGAUGUAAUGGAUGAUGCUUUCAUCAACAAUUUUGUUUCCCAGUUGGUCUGUCACGUGGAAUACUGGCAAACAUGCAAUUAGAACAGCCCCACAUGAAUAGAGAAACAAAGAUGGAGAGAGGAGACUAACCAUCCAUUAACCAACCACCAUCAGAGCAGAUAUAUGAUUUGGAAAUCACUAGGUCAAGAUCUGUCAAAACUUGAACCAUCUCCAGCAGUACCCCAUGCUUAUUGGCACUAUCAACCUGCAAUCCAAGAGUUGUGUCUGCAAAGUUAAAACUCUUUCUCGGAGAAUGAUACAGAGCUCCUUAACAUGAUGCACAGUCAAACCUCCAACAUUGCAAUUGCAUUAGUAGCUCGCUUAGUAUCUGGGUUGCAAAGGUAUUUUUUCACUAUCAAUGUUUGGUGAUUUUUUAUUUAAAUAUUUUUUUUUAAUUUUAUUUUCAAUGUGAUGCAACACUUCUUCAACCCCAAUGAUAGAAGACAGUGUGCAUUAUGGUUCAUAUAAAACUAUUCAGUAAACAUCACUCCUUAGUGCUUCCACCAGCCAAAAGUUGGUCUCUGCUUUAUAAAAGCAAAGCAAAGGGUGAAGUGGUGAACCAUGUGACAUGUAAAUUUUCCCCUACACAUUAUUAUCACCAUAA